CGAACGGGUGAGUAACACGUGGGUGACCUGCCCCGACGAUUGGGACAACCCGAGGAAACUCGGGCUAAUACCAAAUGUGCUCACGGCUCUAGGGGCCGUGAGGAAAGGAAGCUUCGGCCUCCGCAUCGGGAUGGGCCCGCGGCCCAUUAGCUUGUUGGUGGGGUAACGGCCUACCAAGGCUUCGAUGGGUAGCUGGUCUGAGAGGACGAUCAGCCACACUGGGACUGAGACACGGCCCAG
rnacentral:rRNA from 1 species